AUCCAAAUAAAGCAGAUACUUCAUCCUGCUCUGAAAACCAACACAAUGGCUUUACUCCCAGUAGUGCUGUUUCUAGCUACAGUGCUGCUACCAUCUUUCCCCACUGAAGAAAAAGAUCCAUCCUUUACUACUUCAUUAACUACUCAAAUGGAAGUCCAAAGAGAGAUUGUAAAUAAACACAAUGAGCUAAGGAAAUCCAUCUCUCCACCUGCCAGCAACAUACUAAAGAUGAAAUGGAGCAGAGACGCCACAGCAAAUGCCCAGAAGUGGGCAAACCAGUGUGCUUUAGAACACGGUAAUCCAGAUGACCGAUAGACCAGUACAAAAUGUGGUGAGAAUUUCUACGUGUCAGAUGACUCUACUGCCCAGUCAGAUGCGACCCAAAGCUGGUGUGAAGAAUGCCACAAUUUUGUCUGUGGUGCAGAACUGAAGAGUUUCAGUGCAGUCGUUGUAUAUUAUACCCAGCCUGUCUGGUACUCAUCCUACCUUGCUGGAUGUGGAAUUGCUUGUUGUCCUAAUCAAGACAGUCUUAGAUACUACUAUGUUUGCCAAUAUUGUCCUGCUGGCAAUAAAGUGAGUAAAAAGAAUACACCUUACCAGCAAGGAACACCUUGUGCCAGCUGCCCUGGUAACUGCGACAAUGGACUAGGCACCAAUACUUGCCAGGAUAACAGUCUCCUUAGUAACUGCAAUUCCUUGAAGAAAAAAUGCUGGAGAGGGUGUGGAAAAAAAGGGAAUCCUUCUACACUAUUGGUAGGAAUGUAAAUUGGUACAACCACUCUGGAAAACUGUAAGGAGAUUCCCUAAAAAACUGAAAAUAGAGCUACCAUAUGAUUCAGCAAUCCCACUCCCUCAUAUACAACUGGAAAAAAUGAAAACUCUAAUUCAAAAAGAUAUAUGAACCCCAGUGUUCAUAGCAGCAUUGUUUACAAUAGCUAGCCUGAGUGCCCGUCAACAGACAACUGGCUUAAGAACAUGUGGUGUGUGUAUGUAUACAUAUACACAAUGGAAUAUUAUAAAGCCAUUAAAAAGAAUUAAAUAUUGCUAUUUGCAGCAACACGGAUGGACCUAGAAAAUAUUAUAAUUAGUGAAGUAAGUCAGACAAAGACAAAUACUAUAUGAUAUCAUUUCUAUGUGGAAUCUGAAAAAUAAUACAAAUGAAUCUAUAUACAGAAAUAGGCUCACAGACAUAGAAUACAAAUUUAUG